GUCUGUCCGCAUUAACUUGGCAGAUAAGCCCCUCCCCCUUUUGGAUUUCAGUGUCUCCCAUUGGUCAGUUCAAAAGCUAGCCACGCCCCCUUGCCAAAUCAGGCUGUAUGUGAUUCGUGGGUGCUGGGAAAGGUUGAAUCUCAUUGGUGGAUGCUGGGAAAGGUUGAAUCUCAUUGGUGGAUGCUGGGAAAGGUUGAAUCUCAUUGGUGGAUGCUGGGAAAGGUUGAAUCUCAUUGGUGGAUGCUGGGAAGGGUUGAAUCUCAUUGGUGGAUGCUGGGAAGGGUUGAAUCUCAUUGGUGGAUGCUAGGAAAGGUUGAAUCUUAUUGGUGGAUGCUGGGAAGGGUUGAAUCUCAUUGGUGGAUGCUGGGAAGGGUUGAAUCUCAUUGGUGGAUGCUAGGAAAGGUUGAAUCUUAUUGGUGGAUGCUGGGAAGGGUUGAAUCUCAUUGGUGGAUGCUGGGAAGGGUUGAAUCUCGUUGGUGGAUGCUGGGAAGGGUUGAAUCUCAUUGGUGGAUGCUGGGAAGGGUUGAAUCUCAUUGGUGGAUGCUGGGAAGGGUUGAAUCUCAUUGGUGGAUGCUGGGAAGGGUUGAAUCUUAUUGGUGGAUGCUGGGAAGGGUUGAAUCUCGUUGGUGGAUGCUGGGAAGGGUUGAAUCUUAUUGGUGGAUGCUGGGAAGGGUUGAAUCUUAUUGGUGGAUGCUGGGAAGGAUUGAAUCUUAUUGGUGGAUGCUGGGAAGGGUUGAAUCUCAUUGGUGGAUGCUGGGAAGGGUUGAAUCUCAUUGGUGGAUGCUGGGAAGGGUUGAAUCUCAUUGGUGGAUGCUGGGAAAGGUUGAAUCUCAUUGGUGGAUGCUGGGAAAGGUUGAAUCUCAUUGGUGGAUGCUGGGAAAGGUUGAAUCUCAUUGGUGGAUGCUGGGAAAGGUUGAAUCUCAUUGGUGGAUGCUGGGAAGGGUUGAAUCUCAUUGGUGGAUGCUGGGAAAGGUUGAAUCUCAUUGGUGGAUGCUGGGAAAGGUUGAAUCUUAUUGGUGGAUGCUGGGAAGGGUUGAAUCUCAUUGGUGGAUGCUGGGGAAGGUUGAAUCUCAU